CAUCACACUUUAUUAUUUGAAUUAAAUAUUUAAAAAUAUAUUCUUCCAAAUCAGAGUAAUAACAAACCUAUUACUCUGUAUACUAAAAACAGAAAAAAGUAAACAACCAUAUAUGUAUUUGGGUUCUUCAGAGAAACAUAACCAAGAGGUUGUGCACACACAAGUCCCAUGAUCUACAGGGUGAAGGGUCAAACUGGAGCCAAGGAAAGCCAAUAGUACAGUUGUAGUCUGAGUCCAAAAGCCUGGGAAUCAGGAGAGUCCAUGGUGUAUCUCUAGUCUAAAGGCUGUCAGAUUGGAGACCCAGGAAGAGCCAAUGCCCAAGUUCAAAAUGAGAAAAAAAGCAGUUUCAAAACAAAGGCAGUCAAGUAGAAAGAAUCCUUUCUUCCUCAGGAGAUAAUCAGUCUUUUUUUCUAUUCAAGCUUUUAGCUAAUUUGCUGAAGCCCACACAAAUGAACCCCAUUAGGGAAAGUGAGCUUAAUUUAGUCUACCAUUUUAAAUGUUAAUCCUCACAGAAACCUCCAGAAUAAGAUUUGAUCAAGUAUCUGGAUGCCCCAUGGCCCAGUCAAGUUCACACAUAAAAUUAACCAUUUCACUAUGCUUAUAUAAUACUGUGGGUGUCACUGUUGAAUAGGACUGACCUUCUAACUCUGGGCCGCCUCCUCCCAUCAGUUCUUUCUCUAUAUUGACAACACCACUACCACCAAUUCUUCAGGGCUUUGUUUGGCCAGCAUCCAUACAAUGCACAAAUCCUUAGUUAUCUGUAUGUUUGUGGUCAAAUUCUCUAGCCUAGUAGCUUCAUUUGAAGGGAGAUAACUAUAUUCCCUGAACUUUGCUCCAUAAUCUCUAAAGGAAGAUUCCCAUCUCACCUUUUGUUACUAUGGAGAUGUGAUGUGGAAAAUUCACACCUUUUGUUACUAUGGAGAUAUGAUAUGGAAAAUUCAUAACAAAAAAUAAUGAAUUUCUAUUCUACCCUUACUAGCACAUUGUUCAUGAGAAUGUUACUUGCCCAAGUUACUAAUAUAUCUAACCUUCAAUUUUCCCCUGUACAAAAAAUGGAAGAAGAUAAUCUAAUUUACAAAGUUAGCAUAUAGACUGAUGUACAUAAAGUACCUAGCACCGUGCCUAGUAUGUAGUAAAAUUGAUUGUGUAAAUAUAAAUAGUAGACUCUAGGGGGUCUCUUUAACCCUGUGUUUCUAUUGACAUAAUUUUCCUACUAACACAGAUCUGAAAAUAGUAAUAGUGACCCCACAAUAAUAUUUCAUCAUAAUUUCUGCAACCCCUCCCUUAGAGUUAUUUUUUUGUUUGUUUGUUUUAAUGAACCAAAUAAGGAGAAAAGAUUCUUUGUUGUUUUCCCUCUCUUUUAGGUGUAUGUGAACUCUCACAUAAUCUCAUUCAAUAUUACCAAUUGUUGUCAAACUCAGAAGAUAAUGGGUGAAAUUUCAAGUUAUAAUAAUAUAUCAGAUUAUAGGGAAUAAGGACAGGCUUUGGACAUAUUUCAAAUAUCUUGGCUUCUUGAGAAAGCAGAUACUAAAUCUGUCACUAGACUCAGAAUCAAGUAGUCAGCCUUUGGCCCUCUUCCAGUAUAUAAUGGAACAAAUUCCAGACCUCUCCAAGAGUAAUUCUUUUUGCAGUCCAGAGACAUAAGGCUGCUAUAGUUAGAUGUUAAUAAAAGAUCUAAAUGCAGUGGAGCAAAAGACAGGAGGAGAAAGUCUUGGUGAGUAAGCCAAAUGGGCCAGCUAUCUGUCGUCUGGCAGCUGUCAGGAAGAAAGAGCAAAGAAUAGAAUUAUAAAGCAUGGCUACAUUUGCAGAUUAAAGAAAAUAACUCAUUUUCAGAUAAUUUUAAGAAAAUCAGAGUUAUAUACAGCUAUAAAGUUAAAGCUAUAGAGAUUAAGUAUAUAUUAUGUAAAAACGAAAAAAUAGAAUUCAAGAAUUUGGUGAAAAUUCUCUCAAUCCAAAAUUGUUCUUCUGUAAUGAAAUUAUAACUUCCAUCAUUUAUUAUUUCCAUUAAAAUGGAAGUCUGGUCUGAUUAGCUCAACAUAGAAUUUAAAAUUUAAAUCUCUAAAUUGAAUCCUGAUAUUACAUGGUUAUUCAGGCCAGGUGUAUGUUAAAGUAGACAGUAGCAUGUAGAUAAUAAUAAACAUCAUUUCUUGAACUAAUUCCUCCAGGGUAAUUUUAUUGGUGACCACAUGGUUGAGGUAAUGGUUGGUUCUGGUCAAUUAAAUUAAGUAAAUGCAAUUCUUUUCUAAUUUGAACAAUUUCAUUCAGAAUUAAAGUUAAAAAUAUUUUUCUAUAUUAAGCUACUCCAUCAGGAAAUUAUGAAAAAUUAUCGACUGAAGUUGAAAAAUAAAUGUCAAUGAGAAAUCCCCAACUAUAUGUGUAGUAAUUUAGGAUAUGUUUAUUCAUUCCAUUCUCAUAAUCAGUUAUGUAGAAAUUCAUAUCUACCAAAGCACAGUUUUAAAGUAAAGAUCUGGGAAGUUUCUUGGCAUCAAACUAAUGGUUACAGGAUAAUAUCAAUGUCACUUCCACAAUGCUUAAAUAUUCGUAGGUGACUAAAAUUGAUAUGUACCAAUUCCAACAAGGUAGAUCAUUGUAGAAGUGACUCACACCUAGGACUCUAUACCAAAUAUUAAACCUAAAUCUCAACAAAAAGGAGUAAAACAAGAAUUUGACUAUGCAAAGUAUGAAGAAUAUGAAGAAAUUUGAUGUCAAAAAGGCAAACGAAAUUUCAUAAAUGGAAAACACAAACAUUUGUGCAAAAACACAAAUUGAAUUUAUAUUAAAUCUAGAUUUAAUAUACAUUAGUAAACAUUAAACAUAUAAACAAUAAAGAUGGGUAGCAAAGAAUAUUUUCUAUAGGCAUGACAUUAUAGAAAAUGACAGAGUAGGACAUUCAAAUAAAUGGCCCCUCCCCUGAAAGAAAGAUAUACUCACAAAGAUUCACUAAUUCAAUUUUUCUUUGGAAAUGUGGGAACUAAUCCAAAACUUUCAUCGACCAGAGGACUACUUACUAAAGAAAAGCGAUUGCUAUGGUAUAUCCACUCACAUACUAUCUCCUAUUCUCCAGUAGCCAGUGUCCCCAGUGUAGGUGGCUGGUUCAGAGGGCUAAUACUGAUCUUGUUCUUAAAAUACUGUGGUUGUGCUUUUUCAAUAUGAAUUUUAGUGUAUAUUUGACUUACAAAUUUGUUUUAGUUUCAGGUGAACAACAAAGUAAAUCAGAUUCUUUUCCCAUAGAGGUUGUUACACAGUAUUGAAUACAUUAUCCUGUGCUAUACGGUAGGUCCUUGGUACCUAUUUUAUCUAUAACAGUGUGUAUAUGUGAAUCCCAACCCCCUAAUUUAUCCUCCCCCACUCAUUUCCACUACAGUAACCAUAAAUUUGGCUUGAAAAUCUUCAAGUCUCUUUCUAUUUUGUAAGUUCUUUUGUGUCACUUUUAUUAGAUCCCAUAUAUUUCAUAUGUAUUUCUCUGACAAUUCAAUUCACUUAGUAUAAUUUCUAGAUCCACCUAUCCUGCUGCAAAUGGCAUUAUUUCAUUCUUUUUAUAGCUGAGUAAUAUUCCAUUGUGUAUAUGUACCACACCUUCUUCAUCCAAUCCUCUGUUGAUGGAAAUUUAGGUUGCUUCCCUGUCUUGGCUAUUGUAAAUAGCGCUGCAGUGAACAUUGGGGUACAUGGAUCUUUUCAAAUUACGGUUUGCUCCAAACAUAUUCCUAGGAAUGGGACCUUUGGACCAUAUGGUAGCUCUGUUUUUAAAAUUUUUUUUUUUUAAUCUUUUUGCCUUUUCUUGACCCACUCCCACGGAAUAUGGAGGUUCCCAGGCUAAGGGUCUAAUCGGAGCUGUAGCCACUGGCCUAUGCCAGAGCCACAGCAACAGCAGGAUCUGAGCCGCAUCUGCGACCCCCACCACAGCUCACGGCAAUGCCAGAUCCUUAACCCACUGAGCAAGGCCAGGGAUCCAACUUGCAAUCUCAUGGUUCCUAGUCGGAUUCGUUAACUACUGCGCCAUGAUGGGAACUCUGGUUUUUAAAUUUUUUAAGGAACCUCGAUACUAUUCUCCAUAGUGGUUGCACUAGUUUACAUUUCCAUCAAUAGUGUAGGAGAGUUCCCUUUUCUCCACACCCUCUCCAGCAUUUGAUUGUACUUUUUUUUUUUUUAAUUUUUGGCACUUUUUUGUUUUAUGUUUGCAUUUCCCUCAAGU
rnacentral:lncRNA from 1 species